GUCCCUGUAGGACAAUGGAUAGCCCGUCGGACUUUUAAUCUAAAGAUUGUGGGUUCGAAUCCCACCUGGGAUG
rnacentral:tRNA from 1 species